UGCGCUAAUUUCGGCCUCUGCCCAGAGUGCAGACCCAACGAAACCCGC
rnacentral:ncRNA from 1 species